UCAUGUGAGGGUGAUCUGGCUGUGACAUCUGUCACCCAUUGGUCUCCAGGGUUGAUUCUGCUGAUCUGGCUGGUUAGGCAGGUGCCCCUUCCUCUCUCACUGCUCCAUGUGCGACCCUCCCAAAACUGCAUGCUAGGUCAAAGAGGACAUGCCUUCCCUGAAUAGAGAAGGACCAGUCUUUGGUAUACCAGUAGCUGCACUCCCCUGCUAGAACCUCCAAACAAGCUCUCAAGGUCCAUCUCAUCCCAUUCUACUUAUGACUUAAAUAUAUAUAUAUAUAUAUAAGUACCUGGAUGAAAGUCAUAAGCAGUGUUU
ensembl:misc_RNA 7SK 7SK RNA